GAUGAAGAACGCAGCGAAAUGCGAUAAGUAAUGUGAAUUGCAGAAUUCAGUGAAUCAUCGAAUCUUUGAACGCACAUUGCGCCCGUCAGUAUUCUGGCGGGCAUGCCUGUUCGAGCGUCAUUACGCCCCUCAAGUCCCCUGUGGACUUGGUGUUGGGGAUCGGCGAGGCUGGUUUUCCAGCACAGCCGUCCCUUAAAUUAAUUGGCGGUCUCGCCGUGGCCCUCCUCUGCGCAGUAGUAAAACACUCGCAACAGGAGCCCGGCGCGGUCCACUGUCGUAAAACCCCCCAACUUUUUAUAGUUGACCUCGAAUCAGGUAGGACUACCCGCUGAACUUAAGCAUAUCAAUAAGCGGAGGA
rnacentral:misc_RNA from 1 species